AAGCUAUGAUGUGGGCAACUUCCUCAUAGGUCCUUUAAUCUCUCCCAAGCUUCAUACCCAAACUCUCUUAAUCCUGGUGGGCAAAAGUCAUUAUUCUCAUUACGAAGCUU